rnacentral:rRNA from 1 species
UACGUAGGGGCCUAGCGUUGUCCGGAAUUAUUGGGCGUAAAGAGCGUGUAGGCGGCCAAGCAGGUCAGCUGUGAAAACUCGAGGCUCAACCUCGAGACGUCGGUUGAAACCGUUUGGCUAGAGUCCGGAAGAGGAGAGUGGAAUUCCCGGUGUAGCGGUGAAAUGCGCAGAUAUCGGGAAGAACACCCGUGGCGAAGGCGGCUCUCUGGGACGGUACUGACGCUGAGACGCGAAAGCGUGGGGAGCGAACAGG